rnacentral:rRNA from 1 species
UGAUCAGCCACAUUGGGACUGAGACACGGCCCAAACUCCUACGGGAGGCAGCAGUGGGGAAUCUUGCACAAUGGAGGAAACUCUGAUGCAGCGAUGCCGCGUGAGUGAAGAAGGCCCUUGGGUUGUAAAGCUCUUUCGUCGGGGAAGAAAAUGACUGUACCCGAAUAAGAAGGUCCGGCUAACUUCGUGCCAGCAGCCGCGGUAAUACGAAGGGACCUAGCGUAGUUCGGAAUUACUGGGCUUAAAGAGUUCGUAGGUGGUUGAAAAAGUUGGUGGUGAAAUCCCAGAGCUUAACUCUGGAACUGCCAUCAAAACUUUUCAGCUAGAGUUUGAUAGAGGAAAGCAGAAUUUCUAGUGUAGAGGUGAAAUUCGUAGAUAUUAGAAAGAAUACCAAUUGCGAAGGCAGCUUUCUGGAUCAUUACUGACACUGAGGAACGAAAGCAUGGGUAGCGAAGAGGAUUAGAUACCCUCGUAGUCCAUGCCGUAAACGAUGUGUGUUAGACGUUGGAAAUUUAUUUUCAGUGUCGCAGCGAAAGCGAUAAACACACCGCCUGGGGAGUACGACCGC